rnacentral:rRNA from 1 species
AGUCACUGACAUUAGAUACCCCGGUAGUCCAGGGUGUAAACGCUGCAGACUUGGUGUUGGAAGCCCUUUGGGGGCAUUCAGUGCCGGAGAGAAGUUGUUAAGUCUGCUACUUGGGGAGUACGUCCGCAAGGAUGAACUUAAGGAAUUGGCGGGGGAGCACCGCAACGGGAGGAGCGUGCGGUUUAAUUGGAUUCAACACCGUAAAACUCACCAGGGAAGACUGUUACAUGAAGGCCGAGAUGAAGACUCUGCCAGAUUUUCAG